CUUGCACUGAAUGAGAUUUUAACACGAAGUGAGUGGCGGACGGGUGAGUAACACGUGGGUAACCUGCCCAGAAGCAGGGGAUAACACCUGGAAACAGAUGCUAAUACCGUAUAACAGAGAAAACCGCCUGGUUUUCUUUUAAAAGAUGGCUCUGCUAUCACUUCUGGAUGGACCCGCGGCGCAUUAGCUAGUUGGUGAGGUAACGGCUCACCAAGGCGAUGAUGCGUAGCCGACCUGAGAGGGUAAUCGGCCACAUUGGGACUGAGACACGGCCCAGACUCCUACGGGAGGCAGCAGUAGGGAAUCUUCCACAAUGGACGCAAGUCUGAUGGAGCAACGCCGCGUGAGUGAAGAAGGGUUUCGGCUCGUAAAGCUCUGUUGUUAAAGAAGAACGUGGGUGAGAGUAACUGUUCACCCAGUGACGGUAUUUAACCAGAAAGCCACGGCUAACUACGUGCCAGCAGCCGCGGUAAUACGUAGGUGGCAAGCGUUAUCCGGAUUUAUUGGGCGUAAAGCGAGCGCAGGCGGUCUUUUAAGUCUAAUGUGAAAGCCUUCGGCUCAACCGAAGAAGUGCAUUGGAAACUGGGAGACUUGAGUGCAGAAGAGGACAGUGGAACUCCAUGUGUAGCGGUGAAAUGCGUAGAUAUAUGGAAGAACACCAGUGGCGAAGGCGGCUGUCUGGUCUGUAACUGACGCUGAGGCUCGAAAGCAUGGGUAGCGAACAGGAUUAGAUACCCUGGUAGUCCAUGCCGUAAACGAUGAUUACUAAGUGUUGGAGGGUUUCCGCCCUUCAGUGCUGCAGCUAACGCAUUAAGUAAUCCGCCUGGGGAGUACGACCGCAAGGUUGAAACUCAAAAGAAUUGACGGGGGCCCGCACAAGCGGUGGAGCAUGUGGUUUAAUUCGAAGCUACGCGAAGAACCUUACCAGGUCUUGACAUCUUCUGCCAACCUAAGAGAUUAGGCGUUCCCUUCGGGGACAGAAUGACAGGUGGUGCAUGGUUGUCGUCAGCUCGUGUCGUGAGAUGUUGGGUUAAGUCCCGCAACGAGCGCAACCCUUAUUACUAGUUGCCAGCAUUCAGUUGGGCACUCUAGUGAGACUGCCGGUGACAAACCGGAGGAAGGUGGGGACGACGUCAAAUCAUCAUGCCCCUUAUGACCUGGGCUACACACGUGCUACAAUGGAUGGUACAACGAGUCGCGAAACCGCGAGGUUUAGCUAAUCUCUUAAAACCAUUCUCAGUUCGGACUGUAGGCUGCAACUCGCCUACACGAAGUCGGAAUCGCUAGUAAUCGCGGAUCAGCAUGCCGCGGUGAAUACGUUCCCGGGCCUUGUACACACCGCCCGUCACACCAUGAGAGUUUGUAACACCCAAAGCCGGUGGGGUAACCUUUUAGGAGCUAGCC
rnacentral:rRNA from 1 species